rnacentral:rRNA from 1 species
AGUGAACGCUGGCGGUAGGCCUAACACACGCAAGUCGAACGGCAGCACAGGAGAGCUUGCUCUCUGGGUGGCGAGUGGCGGACGGGUGAGGAAUACACCGGAAUCUACUUUUUCGUGGGGGAUAACGUAGGGAAACUUACGCCAAUACCGCAUACGACCUACGGGUGAAAGCAGGGGAUAUUCGGACCUUGCGCGAUUGAAUGCGCCGAUGUCGGAUUAGCUAGUUGGCGGGGUAAAGGCCCAACAAGGCGACGAUCCGUAGCUGGUCUGAGAGGAUGAUCAGCCACACUGGAACUGAGACACGGUCCAGACUCCUACGGGAGGCAGCAGUGGGGAAUAUUGGACAAUGGGCGCAAGCCUGAUCCAGCCAUACCGCGUGGGUGAAGAAGGCCUUCGGGUUGUAAGGCCCUUUUGUUGGGAAAGAAAUCCAGCUGGUUAAUACCCGGUUGGGAUGACGGUACCCAAAGAAUAAGCACCGGCUAACUUCGUGCCAGCCGCCGCAGUAA